CAUAGAAAGUAAAGUUGGCCGGAACCUUGUAGGUCACAGAAGCAUGGAAUGUAGGAAUGGAAGGGACCUUGAAGGUCAGAGAACCAUGGAAUGUAGGGUUGGAGGUGACCUUGAAUGUCACAGAAGCAUGGAAAGUAGGGUUGGAAUUGACCUUGAAGGUCACAGAAGCAUGGAAUGUAGGGUUGGCAGGGACCUUGUAGGUCACAGAAGCCUGGAAUGUAGGGUUGGAUGGGACCUUGAAGGUCACAUUAGCAUGGAAUGUCGGGUUGGCAGGGACCUUGAAGGUCACAGAAGCAUGGAAUGUAGGGUUGGAAUUGACCUUGUAGGUCACAGAAGCAUGGAAUGUAGAGUUGAAAGGGACUUUG